UGCAUGCUUUUACAGUAUGGAAAUUGGUGAUUUAUAAUAACUUAGCAAAUCGCAAAGUGAAAACAGGCGAUAAAUCAUUCAAGUUUCUGACCUAUCAGCUUUCGACGGUAUGGUAUUGGCUUACCGUGGCAGUGACGGUUAACGGGGGAUUAGGGUUCGAUUCCGGAGAGGGAGCCUGAGAAACGGCUACCACAUCUAAGGAAGGCAGCAGGCGCGCAAAUUACCCAAUUCUAACAGUUUAAGAGAGGUAGUAACAAGAAAUAACAAUACAAGGCAAUUAAAAUGCUUUGUAAUUGGAAUGAUAGAAAUUUAAACCCUUUUUAAAGUAUCAAUUGGAGGGCAAGUCUGGUGCCAGCAGCCGCGGUAAUUCCAGCUCCAAUAGCGUAUAUUAAAAUUGUUGCAGUUAAAAAGCUCGUAGUUGAAGUUCUGCUAAAAGUAACCGGUCUGCUUUUAAUAAAAGUGGUAUCUUGGUGUGUAUUUAGCAAUGAUGUCCUUUGAAGUGUUUUUUACUUUAUUGUAAUAAAGCAUAUUCAGGACUUUUACUUUGAGAAAAUUAGAGUGUUUCUAGCAGGCCAACGCUUUGAAUACUGCAGC
rnacentral:rRNA from 1 species